rnacentral:rRNA from 1 species
GUACGGAAGGCAGCAGUGGGGAAUUUUGGACAAUGGGCGCAAGCCUGAUCCAGCAAUGCCGCGUGUGUGAAGAAGGCCUUCGGGUUGUAAAGCACUUUUGUCCGGAAAGAAAACCUGUGGGCUAAUACCCUGUGGGGAUGACGGUACCGGAAGAAUAAGCACCGGCUAACUACGUGCCAGCAGCCGCGGUAAUACGUAGGGUGCAAGCGUUAAUCGGAAUUACUGGGCGUAAAGCGUGCGCAGGCGGUCCGUUAAGACAGAUGUGAAAUCCCCGGGCUUAACCUGGGAACUGCAUUUGUGACUGGCGGACUCGAGUAUGGCAGAGGGGGGUAGAAUUCCACGUGUAGCAGUGAAAUGCGUAGAGAUGUGGAGGAAUACCGAUGGCGAAGGCAGCCCCCUGGGCCAAUACUGACGCUCAUGCACGAAAGCGUGGGGAGCAAACAGGAUUAGAUACCCUCGUAC